rnacentral:rRNA from 1 species
UACGUAGGGGGCGAGCGUUGUCCGGAUUCAUUGGGCGUAAAGAGCUCGUAGGCGGUUCAGUAAGUCGGGUGUGAAAUCUCCGUGCUCAACACGGAGCGGCCACCUGAUACUGCUGUGACUCGAGUCCGGUAGGGGAGUGUGGAAUUCCCGGUGUAGCGGUGAAAUGCGCAGAUAUCGGGAGGAACACCCGUAGCGAAGGCGGCACUCUGGG